AUGAACGCUGGCGGCGUGCCUAAUCCCUGCAAGUCGAGCGAACAGACGAGGAGCUUGCUCCUCUGACGUUAGCGGCGGACGGGUGAGUAACACGUGGAUAACCUACCUAUAAGACUGGGAUAACUUCGGGAAACCGGAGCUAAUACCGGAUAAUAUAUUGAACCGCAUGGUUCAAUAGUGAAAGACGGUUUUGCUGUCACUUAUAGAUGGAUCCGCGCCGCAUUAGCUAGUUGGUAAGGUAACGGCUUACCAAGGCGACGAUGCGUAGCCGACCUGAGAGGGUGAUCGGCCACACGGGAACUGAGACACGGUCCAGACUCCUACGGGAGGCAGCAGUAGGGAAUCUUCCGCAAUGGGCGAAAGCCUGACGGAGCAACGCCGCGUGAGUGAUGAAGGUCUUCGGAUCGUAAAACUCUGUUAUUAGGGAAGAACAAAUGUGUAAGUAACUAUGCACGUCUUGACGGUACCUAAUCAGAAAGCCACGGCUAACUACGUG
rnacentral:rRNA from 1 species